GAUGAACGCUGACAGAAUGCUUAACACAUGCAAGUCGAUGGGGAAGUGGUGCUUGCACCAUGGCAACCAUGGCGGACGGGUGAGUAACGCGUAAGGGACUUACCUGCAGGACUGGGAUAACAGGGGGAAACUCCUGACAAGACCGGAUAAUGUCAUGGAGCUGCAUGGCUUUAUGAUGAAAGGAGACGCCUGCGGAGAGCCUUGCGUCCUAUUAGCUAGUUGGUGAGGUAAUGGCUCACCAAGGCGAAGAUAGGUAGCCGGCCUGAGAGGGUGGACGGCCACAAGGGGACUGAGAUACGGCCCUUACUCCUACGGGAGGCAGCAGUGGGGAAUAUUGGACAAUGGGGGCAACCCUGAUCCAGCAAUUCUGUGUGCACGAAGAAGGUUUUCGGAUUGUAAAGUGCUUUCAGCAGGGAAGAAGUAAAUGACGGUACCUGCAGAAGAAGCGACGGCUAAAUACGUG
rnacentral:rRNA from 1 species